UGCAGAUGGGAAAACUGCGUGCCUUGUGUC
rnacentral:piRNA from 1 species